AUUGAACGCUGGCGGCAUGCCUUACACAUGCAAGUCGAACGGUAACAGGUCUUCGGAUGCUGACGAGUGGCGAACGGGUGCGUAAUACAUCGGAACGUGCCUAGUAGUGGGGGAUAACUACUCGAAAGAGUGGCUAAUACCGCAUGAGAUCUCCGGAUGAAAGCAGGGGUUCGCACGACCUUCUGCCACUAGAGCGGCCGAUGGCAGAUUAGGUAGUGGGUGGGAUAAAAGCUUACCAAGCCGACGAUCUGUAGCUGGUCUGAGAGUACGAUCAGCCACACUGGGACUGGGACACGGCCCAGACUCCUACGGGAGGCAGCAGUGGGGAAUUUUGGACAAUGGGCGCAAGCCUGAUCCAGCAAUGCCGCGUGCAGGAUGAAGGCCUUCGGGUUGUAAACUGCUUUUGUACGGAACGAAAAGCCCUGGGUUAAUACCCUGGGGUCAUGACGGUACCGUAAGAAUAAGCACCGGCUAACUACGUGCCAGCAGCCGCAGUAAUAC
rnacentral:rRNA from 1 species